CCUACGGGGUGCACCAGUGAGGAAUAUUGCACAAUGGGAGCAAGCCUGAUGCAGCCAUGCCGCGUGUAUGAAGAAGGCCUUAGGGUUGUAAAGUACUUUCAGUUGGGAGGAAGGCGUUGAUGCUAAUAUCAUCAGCGAUUGACGUUACCAACAGAAGAAGCACCGGCUAACUCCGUGCCAGCAGCCGCGGUAAUACGGAGGGUGCAAGCGUUAAUCGGAAUUACUGGGCGUAAAGCGCACGCAGGCGGUUGAUUAAGUUAGAUGAGAAAUCCCCGGGCUUAACCUGGGAAUGGCAUCUAAGACUGGUCAGCUAGAGUCUUGUAGAGGGGGGUAGAAUUCCAUGUGUAGCGGUGAAAUGCGUAGAGAUGUGGAGGAAUACCGGUGGUGAAGGCAGCCCCCUGGACAAAGACUGACGCUCAGGUGCGAAAGCGUGGGGAGCAAACAGGAUUAGAUACCCCAGUAGUC
rnacentral:rRNA from 1 species